rnacentral:tRNA from 1 species
ACUGGGGUGGCAGAGCAUGGUUAAUUGCGAAAGGCCUAAGCCCUUUUAGCCAGGGGUUCAAAUCCUCUCCCCAGUU